rnacentral:snoRNA from 1 species
AUACCAUGAUGAUGACAUCUUCUGAGUAACUUCUUAAAUCUCUCUCAUGCGUCACAGAAGCUCUCAUCUUCAAGUUGAUGGAAAUAUGUGAUCUCGUUUCUCAACUU